rnacentral:rRNA from 1 species
AUUGAACGCUGGCGGCAGGCCUAACACUUGCAAGUCGAACGGUAACAGGAAACAGCUUGCUGUUUCGCUGACGAGUGGCGGACGGGUGAGUAAUGUCUGGGAAACUGCCUGAUGGAGGGGGAUAACUACUGGAAACGGUAGCUAAUACCGCAUAACGUCGCAAGACCAAAGAGGGGGACCCUCGGGCCUCUUGCCAUCGGAUGUGCCCAGAUGGGAUUAGCUUGUUGGUGGGGUAACGGCUCACCAAGGCGACGAUCCCUAGCUGGUCUGAGAGGAUGACCAGCCACACUGGAACUGAGACACGGUCCAGACUCCUACGGGAGGCAGCAGUGGGGAAUAUUGCACAAUGGGCGCAAGCCUGAUGCAGCCAUGCCGCGUGUAUGAAGAAGGCCUUCGGGUUGUAAAGUACUUUCAGCGGGGAGGAAGGGAGUAAAGUUAAUACCUUUGCUCAUUGACGUUACCCGCAGAAGAAGCACCGGCUAACUCCGUG